CCAGACUCCUACGGGAGGCAGCAGUGGGGGAUAUUGCACAAUGGGGGAAACCCUGAUGCAGCGACGCCGCGUGUGGGAAGACGGUCCUCUGGAUUGUAAACCACUGUCCCCAGGGACGAAGAUGACGGUACCUGGGGAGGAAGCUCCGGCUAACUACGUGCCAGCAGCCGCGGUAAUACGUAGGGAGCAAGCGUUGUCCGGAAUUACUGGGUGUAAAGGGAGCGUAGACGGCAGUGCAAGUCUGAAGUGAAAGGCAAGGGCUCAACCCUUGGACUGCUUUGGAAACUGUGCUGCUGGAGUGUCGGAGAGGCAAGUGGAAUUCCUAGUGUAGCGGUGAAAUGCGUAGAUAUUAGGAGGAACACCAGUGGCGAAGGCGGCUUGCUGGACGAUGACUGACGUUGAGGCUCGAAAGCGUGGGGAGCAAACAGGAUUAGAUACCCGAGUA
rnacentral:rRNA from 1 species